AGUCAUUCAAGAUAAACAUCUUCCUUCCUGAGCCAAGACUAACUUGUCUGCACUGGGGAGGAGAGCACGUGCUACCUGCUUCUCUGCCGGGCCCUUUUCGCUACAUUGUUCUUGUACACUUACAAGAGACUCUGACUUCAAUCUCUGCAGUUCAAGAUACAUCCGGAAGUCUUAGCCUAAGUGAAAAGCACCUGAGCAGGUUCUGUGCCUGAGGAACAAAGGUUGCACUUUAGCAUGGUGGAGAUGAAGAGAAACAGCCUGUGAAAGAUCAGAAAAACCAAGGAAGGAAGUAAUUUCAAGACAUAAAAUAAAGUCACCAGAAUCAGAGAUGCCGAAGACACCAAAGAAACAGAGGAAAAUUUCCAUCAGACUUGGUGAAAAAGGUCUUUAGAGGCAGUUUGAGCAGAACUUUGAGGAUAACCUAUUCCCAUUAUUAAAAAGGAAGUAUGAAAUGA
ensembl:lincRNA uncharacterized LOC102007038